rnacentral:rRNA from 1 species
GACGAACGCUGGCGGCGUGCUUAACACAUGCAAGUCGAACGAUGAAGCCGGAGCUUGCUCUGGUGAAUUAGUGGCGAACGGGUGAGUAACACGUGAGUAACCUGCCCUUGACUAUGGGAUAACUGCUAGAAAUGGUAGCUAAUACCGGAUACGACCCUCGGAGGCAUCUCCAGGGGGUGGAAAGAAUUUCGGUCAAGGAUGGACUCGCGGCCUAUCAGCUAGUUGGUGAGGUAACGGCUAACCAAGGCGAAGACGGGUAGCCGGCCUGAGAGGGUGACCGGCCACACUGGGACUGAGAUACGGCCCAGACUCCUACGGGAGGCAGCAGUGGGGAAUAUUGCACAAUGGGCGCAAGCCUGAUGCAGCGACGCCGCGUGAGGGAUGAAGGUCUUCGGAUUGUAAACCUCUUUCAGUAGGGACGAAGCGAAAGUGACGGUACCUGCAGAAAAAGCACCGGCUAACUACGUGCCAGCAGCAGCCGCAG